AGGGUUGUAGUUUAUAAUAACAUUUGAUUUGCAUUCAAAAAAUAUUGAUUAAUUCAAUCUUCCUU
rnacentral:tRNA from 1 species